AUUGAACGCUGGCGGCAGGCCUAACACAUGCAAGUCGAGCGGGGUUUUCGGACUUAGCGGCGGACGGGUGAGUAAUGCUUAGGAAUCUGCCAUUUAGUGGGGGACAACAUUCCGAAAGGAAUGCUAAUACCGCAUACGUCCUACGGGAGAAAGCAGGGGAUCUUCGGACCUUGCGCUAAAUGAUGAGCCUAAGUCGGAUUAGCUAGUUGGUGGGGUAAAGGCCUACCAAGGCGACGAUCUGUAGCGGGUCUGAGAGGAUGAUCCGCCACACUGGGACUGAGACACGGCCCAGACUCCUACGGGAGGCAGCAGUGGGGAAUAUUGGACAAUGGGCGGAAGCCUGAUCCAGCCAUGCCGCGUGUGUGAAGAAGGCCUUUUGGUUGUAAAGCACUUUAAGCGAGGAGGAGGCUACUAGUACUAAUACUACUGGAUAGUGGACGUUACUCGCAGAAUAAGCACCGGCUAACUCUGUGCCAGCAGCCGCAGUAACAC
rnacentral:rRNA from 1 species